ensembl:lncRNA MAP9-AS1 MAP9 antisense RNA 1
AAAGAGGAAGCACAUCUUUAGUUUCCAGUAACUGGCAUUUGGUUAUGGGGUGGCUGUUUUUCUACGUGGACCAAGCAGGGUCCCAGUUCAAGUUUCUGCUGCCUAUCUGAUAAUCUUGAGGUAUUUAUGAAGGACUCCUUUGAAAGUUCUCUACUGAGUUUCCUUAAGGAAUUGGAAUAUUAUUCAGUCCAGGUUUAAGUCCUUCAGCAUCUGACAUUCUCCUGGCAACUGUAAUUGAAUCAAUGAUGACUCAUCUGAGAUGAGCAAGUUGGUCCAGUCAGACCAAACAAAAGACAUUCUAUAAUCAGGGGAGAAGUCUUCUCUAUAUCUCUCUUAUAUGAGCAAAUUUAAUGACCUCCACCAUCUCUAAGAACAAGCAGCUAUUUCUGUAGAGAAAGAUCAUCUUUGGAUAACAAUACAUGAUUUUAGGCUCUAAAAGUUAAAACGUGUUUGUAACGUUGAUAUUAUGCAGAGGUCUUGACAGAACUUGGCAGUCUCUGAGGCUACAGAGAAGUGUGAAAAAGAGCAUAGAGAUUUCAGAAGGAGGCAGAUUCAGUCAGACGUACUGAAUCCCGUUUGAUCUCAACUCAGGCACACUCCAGAUGGACGGAGCAGGAAAACCCUUAGUGAAACCUGCCUCUGCAGGUUGAUGGCUUGGGAGGAAAGGCAUUAUGGAAAAUGAUUAGUUUAUGGAAAAAAUAAAUAAACAAGACUGGUCAGAAAGACUGUGAAAGAAGAACUAUAAAGGGAGAUGAAUCCAAGCAGAUAUUUAGACAUAUCAAGCCUAAUAAUGGAAGUGUGGCACUGGAAUCACGAGACUGACCAAU